CGAACCAUCGAGUCUUUGAACGCAAGUUGCGCCCGAGGCCAGCCGGCCAAGGGCACGUUCGCUUGGGCGUCGAGC
rnacentral:rRNA from 1 species